GCGGAAAUAGCUCAGUUGGUAGAGCACAACCUUGCCAAGGUUGGGGUCGCGAGUUCGAGUCUCGUUUUCCGCUCGA
rnacentral:tRNA from 2 species